GAAAGACGCUGAUCGGCGCGAAUAGUGAAGUGGCAGUUUCAGAAUCACGUGUCUGUACCGGAAAAGUGACUAGCUAUAUUCUCUGAAAGGAAGGACCAUAGAUAUGUCUUUUACCGUGGAGCUGUUCGCUCAGAUGAGUCGCAGGAAAAGGAGUAAGAGGCAUUUCGCCUUAAGAGAAUGUAACAAAAAGUUGGAACUUUUUAUGCACCGGUGUUCUUCAUCAUAUGGUCGGUAGAUCUUGUAACUGGUUGGGCUAUUAGAACUGAAGUAGUAAAUUGGAGGAGAUAGUUUUAUAGUUUAGACAAGCUAGUGAAUUUGACAAUUUAUGUGCCUUUUGGUUAGAUGUAGGUUUGAGGACUGCUUAUGAUUUAUAGGAAGCUUAAUUACUUUAAUUUUUUUACAUGGAGAACUUGGGCAAGAAGAGAAAGGGAGUAGAAAUUUCAAUGGUUUGUCAAAAAGAUGAGAGUCUAUUGACAGUAGUCAGGUCACAUUUAUCGUUGGAGGAUUAUUCUCGAAGG
rnacentral:misc_RNA from 1 species